rnacentral:rRNA from 1 species
GAUGAACGCUGGCGGCGUGCUUAACACAUGCAAGUCGAACGGGAAACCUUUUAUUGAAGCUUCGGCAGAUUUAGAUUGUUUCUAGUGGCGGACGGGUGAGUAACGCGUGGGUAACCUGCCUUAUACAGGGGGAUAACAGUCAGAAAUGACUGCUAAUACCGCAUAAGCGCACAGGACCGCAUGGUCCGGUGUGAAAAACUCCGGUGGUAUAAGAUGGACCCGCGUUGGAUUAGCUUGUUGGCAGGGUAACGGCCUACCAAGGCGACGAUCCAUAGCCGGCCUGAGAGGGUGAACGGCCACAUUGGGACUGAGACACGGCCCAGACUCCUACGGGAGGCAGCAGUGGGGAAUAUUGCACAAUGGGGGAAACCCUGAUGCAGCGACGCCGCGUGAAGGAAGAAGUAUCUCGGUAUGUAAACUUCUAUCAGCAGGGAAGAAAA